GACCCUACGGGGCGCAGCAGUGGGGGAUAUUGCACAAUGGGGGCAACCCUGAUGCAGCGACGCCGCGUGAGCGAUGGAGUACUUCGGUAUGUAAAGCUCUGUCAGCAGGGAAGAGAAUGACGGUACCUGACCAAGAAGCCCCGGCUAAAUACGUGCCAGCAGCCGCGGUAAUACGUAUGGGGCAAGCGUUAUCCGGAUUUACUGGGUGUAAAGGGAGCGUAGGCGGCAGGGCAAGCCUGAUGUGAAAGCCCGGGGCUCAACCCUGAGCCUGCAUUUGAAACUGUGUUUCUUGAGUGCUGGAGAGG
rnacentral:rRNA from 1 species